UGAUUUACAAAUGUGGAAAACUGAUCCUCAGUGUGUUGCUCGUGUAAAAACCGUGUUUGUUUUCCUAGUCUACUGCGCGGAUUGAACAUUUCUCAGAGGAAUUUGAAAUGGUCAAAUGAAUUAAUCCCAUGGACAAUGGCAAUGACACUCUCCUAGCUAUUUCACUUACUAAUAUAUAUAAGCAUUGCAAGCUCACUCUAUCAAGCUUGACUUGCAUUGCUUUGAACAAUUAGAUUCUCCUUUUGUUUAAUGUCUAAAUGGAAUUUGAGAAUCACUCACCAUCAAUAUCUUCAUUGCGUCAAAAUUUAUCAUGCAAGCCAUGCAACAACCCUAUUAAUUAUAUUUAUAAUCUAAAGCAAGCACAAGAAAGGCCGGUUACAGUCUUGAAGAAGAAGAAAGCAGGAAGGAAGAAGUUCAAGGAGACUCGGCACCCGGUAUAUAGGGGGGUACGGAAGAGAAAUGGGAAUAAAUGGGUAUGUGAAGUGCGAGAACCGAACAAGAAAUCAAGAAUUUGGUUAGGGACCUUCACUAGCCCAGAAAUGGCAGCUAGGGCACAUGACGUUGCUGCCUUAGCACUGAAGGGAGAAACUGCUACUUUAAAUUUUCCUGAUUCAGCUUUGAUACUUCCUCGAGCGAAGUCGUCUUCUGCUGGAGAUAUACGAAGAGCUGCGCGUGAUGCUGUUGAGGCCUUUAUACCUAGUGCUUCUUUGUGUUCUCCCCCCUCACCAUCUCAUCAUAAGAACUUUUCAUGCGUGACAAGCUCAAGUAAAGUUUUGAGUCCAGCUUUAAGCGAUCUCAAUCCACAUGAGAAGGGCAUAGAAAAUGUUUUCAAACCUUCAUUAAUUGGCAUGCAAGGUGUUGAGGUAUAUGGAAAGAAGGCUCUUAAUGAUGACCCUUUUUCAAUGGUCAUGAUGUCAUGCCCUAACAAUUGCUCGGAGAAGGUGUCCCAUCAACCCAAUGCACUGUUCUUUGAUGAGGAGGCAUUGUUUAACAUGCCAGGAUUACUUGAUAGCAUGGCAGAGGGUUUGAUCCUAACCCCACCAGUUAUGCAAAGAGGAUUUAAUUGGGAUGACAUGGCGUGUUCUACGGACUUGACAUUAUGGGAGGAGGACUAGCUAGAUUCUUGGUGAUCAUAAUUUAAGAUGUUUUGCUUCUUAAUUAAUUUGUUUUUGAUUUAUCAUGCAUGCGGCUAUAGACUAGUACAUAAUAAAGUUAGGACAAUUCUUGAUCCUUCAGUAUAUCCAGCUUUCUUAGGAUUCAUGUUUGAGAUCUUCAAGGUAUAAAAUCUCAAGAACCUCAAGUUUUAGCUAUAGAUCUCAAACCCCCUAACAAUAUUAAUGUCUUCUUAAUUUAAUUUCAUGUUCAUAGGCUAUAUAGCUGAUGGUUUGCAUUAAUCCUCUUCUGUAUUUAAACAUGAUCUGCUUAAUUAUUAAACCACAAACUAGAUUUAACUUUCCCUUUUUUACUUCGAUUUAUGUUAUGUUGAGAGAAUCUGAUCCGUAUAUUUGAAUUUUAGUAUAAAGAUCAACUAUAUGUGAUCGAUAUGCCUACACCCUCUGCCCUAUCGGAAAUACUUACGAAGUUAGGGUUUGUUUAGCAUAUAAUAACAAAUUAACAAAGCCAUUUUUUCAGGCCAGGUUAAGCAAGAAUUUAAUUUAUAUUACAAAAAUAUCUUUUCAUGCUUAUUAAGUGUGUGUGUGUGUGUGUGUACACUAGAUGUUUUCACAGUUUUCUUUAUAAUUAUCCUACUAUAUAUUUAUAUUUAUCUCAUGUCUUCACAGUACACUUUUAUGGAAUCAGUAUCUUAUUUGAUUUUUGGUCACUGGUAACUAUCUUUUGAAUAAAAAUAAAAUACCCAGAGAUCAUCUUUCGGCCGGAUAAAACCACCUCGGUCUCUGGAAUAAUUAACCUGAAGACAUGCCAACGUAUGGUCCUCCCUAGACAAGCUCGUCGACGAUCAGGCCACAUGAGUAGAUGCCAAUUUUCAAAGGAAAUUAUAACCCCCUCAUUCCUUGCGCAGCAUCUUUUGUAGAAGCCUAGAGUAUCCAUCAGGCUACAACACCAAACAACCGAACACUUAACUGUCUUCUUCUGGACUCCCGAAGUACAAAUUAUACACAAAUCUACUCUUAGGAGCCGCAAGAGAGGAAAACUGUAUCUUCACCUAAGAAAAACCCUAGAAAGCUUUCUUUCUAGAGGCUCAGACAGAGGACAAAUUGUGUGUCCCCACGCCAUUUACAGCUUUCAAACGUAAGUGCCCAAAGCUAGGCAUGUGAGAAGAGAAUAUUGUAAUAGAAAGGAAGGAAGAAAAUUUUGUUUCGUGUUUCCGAAAUUUUUUUUGUAAUUAUGUACGUGAUAAAUGUGCACCAAGUUUCGUGUGCUCGAUCGAUAGUGGGACUUAGAAAUUAAUGGAUCCCAUGACAUGAUAUAUUUGUCAUGCUAGUAUGAGCUAGGAGUUAAUUUAGCUAGAUUAGGUUUUUCCUAACAUGAUUUAUAUAUAUAUAGCUAGAGGAAGAAGUGAUUGUUAUCAUUAUAUAUAUAUAUAUAUAUAUAUAUAUACACACACGAUUUAUGUAAUUAAUUUCCUCAAUUUUUAAAUCUUCUUACUUCACCACUGAUAGAAUUUGAACCUAAGAUUUACAAAAUUAAAAAUUUUAAACUUUAACCACUAAAGUUUCGAUCUUUCUAUGCUAAAGAACAUUUAUACUUGCCCAAUUUACAAAAAGCCAAAUGCAUUUAUAUCAUGCCUCCGUUUAGAUAUAUACGCAAGCAUCAUGAUUUAUUUUUUUUUACAAUGAUAAUGACAUGCAUUAUAGAGAACCUAUUCCAAUAUUCAUAUAUUAUAAGUUAUUUUUAAAGUUUAGUAUGGUUAGUGAGUACUAGAUUAUUGACUUGCGAUAUGCUACGGGUCUGGUUAAAAUUUUAUUGAACGUAAAAAGAAAUAUUUAGAUGUUAUUAAUUUAUUUUUUUAUGUGAAUGAUGUGAUUUAAAAAACCCAAUAUUGAAUGAUGUGAUUAAAAAAAUCAAUUUAAAAAAGAACAUAAAAACAACCUGAGUCAAUUCCUCAAACCCAUAAUCAUGAUCAUAAAACCAUGAUAACUUUAUAGAAAAAAAAAAUAACCUGAUUUAGCACAGGUUAACCUGCUAAAUCGAUAACUCUGAUCAUGAGAUUAAUAUAACCCUAUAGAGAAUAAAUCAACAUAAUUUAUGAACCUUAAUUACCAAUCGAUCAUGUCAGAACCAAUAUUGAACAAUGAGAUUUGUAAAAAAUUUAAGUAAUAAAUAACACAAAAAAUAAGCCAAGUCGCGACCUGAGUUAACUUUUUUAACACUAUUUUCAGGUCAUGAGACUAGGAUAAUCUAAUAAAAAAUAAAAUAAUGAAGCCUAAUUCCCAAUCAAACACGAUAUUAAAUGAUGAUAUUCAGAAAAAUUUAAUAAAAAAAAUUGAGUCAACUGGGUUAACCCGUCAAACUCGCGACUUAAGUUAGAAGAAAGGGGUAACUCAAUAAAAAAACAAAUUCAAUGUUGAAUAACCUGUGAUCCGGGCCACGAGACCAAGAUAAUCUCUUAGAAAAAAAAAAAACAACUUGAUUUAACCUGAGUAAAAUUAUCAAAACCUACGACCUUGAUUACGAGACCAAUAUAUUCUCAUAGAAAGUAAGUCAAAAUAGAUUAUGAAACUCAAUUCUCAACAGACUCAAUAUUGAAUAAUAAAAUUAAAAAAAAUUAAAUAAAUAAAAAGGACACAAAUAAUGAUCCGAGUCAACUCGAGGUAACCAAGUAAGCAUCAUUCUUAGGUCAUGUGGUUGGAAUAACCUAAUAGAAAGCAAACAAAAUAAAUCAUAAAGUUUAAUUCUCAAUCAACCCAAUAUUAAAUGAUAAAAUAAAAAAAAAGUUAAUUAAAAAAAACCUGAGUCAACUGGGAUAAUCCACCAAACCUAUAAUUCAUGUCAUGAGAGUGAGAGAAUCCAAUAAAAUAAAUAAAUUUAAUAUUAAAAGAUAAAAAAAAAUUGAUUAAGGAAAAAAUUAUUCUAAUGAGUAGUGUUUUGUGAGGAGAAAUAUAAUAUAAUAUCUCUUUUAGUGUUUUUUUUUUAUUAAAGUAAAUUCUCUUAAUUAUCAAUUAAAAUUGUAUAAAGAAAAAACCUAAGAUUUCUUAUCAGUUUAGUUAUGUAUGGUCCGAUUAAUAGCCAAUUAAAUAAAUUUGUUUCGAUAAAUUAAAUAAUAACUGUACAUUAGAAACAAAAAAGUGAAUUCUCGGUCGAUAAUAAUUAAAAUGCAUCACAAAAAAUAUCAGUCAUUUUCUUCAAAAAAAUUUGUUCCUGGAGACGGUCCAAUAGGCCCAAACAAGACCGAAAUAAAAGUAUGCCCAGUAAAUGGGCUGAAAUCUUCAAACGAACACAUCAUUCCCUUCUUCAUACUUCGUUGUGGGCUUUCAAGAGGUCCGUAUCUCACGAGAAUCAGCCGUAAUCUGGGCGAGGCGCGUAUAAGCUCGGUUCGUUCUUGGUGGAAGUACAUAAAAGCCAUCGAUACCAAUGUUAUAUUAUCCUUAGAAAUUGCUAAAAUAAGUUUUCAAUUUAUUUUUAAAUAUUUAAUUAUAUUAAUUUAAUGUCUAAAUAAAAUAUAUUUAUUUUAUAUGCACUUCUAUUUAUUUUUUUCAAUAAAAAAUUAAGAAGUCACAUAUUGAUGUAAAAAAUGCAUCUUUUAUUAAUAAGAUAAGUAUCUUAUAUGUUAUUAUAUCUUAAAAGUUGUGUACAGUAAGUCUUUAUAUGUAUAAUUGUAUAAUUAUAUCCUUGAUUUUAGUUAAUACAUCCAAAAGAGGAUAGCUCAUAUAAAAACUAAAUUCAGAAGUUAUAUGAAAUUCACCUGAAAAGAUUUAGUUGAAAAGCUUUAUAUAAAAAAAAAACUAUAUAUUAUAUCUUAAAAUCUCUUAAGAUAAAACAUGUAUUAUUAUAAUUUGAGAUUUAUUUUAAAUAUGUUUAUUUGUGAUGUAGUAAUUAAAAAUAUAUAAAAAGAACAAAUGCUAAUUAAUUUGUAUACUAAUCUCUAUUUCAAAUAAUCUUAAUUUUAAUAAUGCGCUCCCUGCUAACAUGUUGGUUGUUAUGAUUUUAUUUUAUUUUAUUUUUUCAGCCUGCAAUGCUUCGUGGCAUCCUUGGAUCCAAGUUUUUUUGUGGCUGGGCGGAAUUCGUGAAAGUUUCAUAGGAGCUUCCAGCUCCAUUAUCGUUCGAGGGGACGGGCAAGCAGACAAAGCUUAGUUUUCUUAUAAUAAUGUCACCAUUACGUUGACUAGCAAUAUUGCUUUGAAGGUUGUUGUGCACGUCAUGGAGGGUCCAAUGCCGAACCCACUAGGCAUUAGUCAUGCUUUCAUGGCAUCUUGUCUUACAUCAGAGAAGGCUAGGAGAAACCGAGUAGCAGUUACAACUUGAUUUUCCAGUUGAACUCGGGAACAUAUGUUCAGGAGGUUGCCUCCUGCUGUUUUAGAUAUUAAUGUAAUGAGAGAUGAAGAAGUUUGAUUGUAUUAUUAUAUUGUAAACCACCUUGUUCUAUUUCCUUGAAACUACUCAAUCUGAAUAUUUUAUUGGAUAUAAUCAUAUUUUGACGUCUUGAGAACAAGUCCAGAGGUCGGGCAGAAGCUAGGAAUAGUUUUGUAUCUUCUGCAGAGAAGGUUUGAAAUGUCCAGCAAGAAAUCUACGAAGUAUAAAUUUAUAAAAUAAAUAAAUUGACCUCAGAAUAGUUUAAUGGAAACCAAUACAAGUUGGAAAAAUGCCGGAACUUUCCUCCGAACUUUGAGCUUUAUCUUCUCUUUUUUUUUUCAGGUUUCUUCCAUUCUAAGAAAUUACUAGGGGGAUUUUAGAGUCUGAAUAAGAUUAUUAUGUGAAUUGUGUUUAGAAUCUGCUGAAAUUCUCUGAAGAAAUACAUGGAAAUAGAAUUAAGGUUCAUCGGAGACCAAAUACAGGAAAAUGCAGGAACCUCUGAUGAUCAUGUCACUAGCAUCACGGAGGCAGACAGGCAAUGGCUAAAAUCAGUGGAAACAAAGACUAAGCUAUUGCCAAAAUUGUUAAACAAUUCAGCCGGCAAGAGCUCUUGUUGCAUCUUUAGAGUGCCUCAAAGCCUCUUCGAGAUUAACAAGAUGGCCUAUCAGCCCCAUAUUGUCUCCAUUGGUCCUUACCACCAUGGCAAAGUGCAUCUCAAGAUGAUCGAAGAACACAAAUGGAGGUUUCUUGGUGGUGUUCUUGCUCGAACACAGCAACAUGGUAUUGGAAUCAACGACUUCUUCAAAGCCAUAGCACCGAUUGAGGAGAAGAUAAGAGAUUGUUACUCUGAGACUAUUGAAUGUAGCAGACAAGAAUUCAUUGAGAUGAUGGUGCUCGAUGGAUGUUUCAUUAUUGAGCUCUUCUGCAUCGUUGGAGGGAUAGUGCAAACAGAUAUUGAUGACCCUAUAUUCAAUAUGACACGGAUGUUUUUCUUUAUCAUGCGUGAUCUUCUCAGGUUAGAGAACCAAAUUCCCUUCUUUGUUCUUGAAACACUGUUCGAGACCUCAAUCUUAUCUUCAAGAAAACAAAAUGUUUCAUCCCUUGCGGAACUAGCCUUGGAAUUCUUUGAUUAUGCUGCUCAAAGACCUCCUGAAGUCCUAAGAAGGUAUAAAGACAUUAGGGGGAAGCAUUUACUAGAUUUGUUUCGGUCGACUAUCAUCCCUUCAUCCCAAGAAGUGCCUGGAAAGAUCAGUCCAUUCCUUCAAUUGAUUCAAUCUGCCAAGAAGCUCCAUCAAGCUGGAAUAAAGUUCAAGCCAAGGGAGACUGACAGCUUCUUGGACAUCGAAUUCAGCAAUGGAGUCCUUGAAAUCCCACUUUUAACAGUAGAUGAUUUCACCACGUCUGUCAUACUCAAUUGUGUUGCAUUUGAACAAUGCUAUAACCAUUGCUCAAACCACAUUACAAGUUAUGUUACCUUCAUGGGCUGCCUCAUCAACGCCCCUAGUGAUGCGGGGUUUUUAUGUGAUUACAAAAUAGUUGAGAAUUACUUCGGAACCGACGAGGAAGUUGCUCGUUUCUUUAAUAAUGUUGGCAAGGAUGUUACUUUUGAUAUUCAGAGGAGUUACCUGUCAAAAGUGUUUGAGGAUGUCAACGAGCACUACAGCAACAAUUGGCAUGUUAGAUGGGCAGGGUUCAUGCAUACUUAUUUUGACACCCCAUGGUCCUUCAUAUCAGCUUUAGCUGCAGUUGUUCUACUCAUCCUCACUAUGAUACAGGCCUUCUUUGCUUUCUAUGGAUAUUUCCGUCCUCCUAAACAAUAAUUACAUCCUGCUGUUCUAUCUUGCAAAUUGUAUAAUCGGGAUCCACUGAGCGAUGAAAAACCAUUCUCCUUGCAACUCUUUGCUGUUUUACCAAAACUCUGUAGUCUGCAGUCCCAAGUAAUGAUAGUUUUCAUGAAGCUUAUGCAUGAUGACAGUUGUACAUUAGGCUUUUGCUUGCUCAGAAUCAUUUUUCUGCGCCUAAUUUGACAAAGGAAAACGGAUGAAGACUAGGUAACUUUGUUGCAAUGAGUGCUCAAAAAAUUAUUGUUGUUCAAUGAUUAUUUUGAAAAUCUCAUAUUGAUUAAUGGAUAAGUCAAUAUAAUUAUCUUUGCUUGGUUGUAUUAAGUUUGACAAAAUAAAUUUAGUGUUAGAACCAUAUCAUCUCUAAUUUGAAUUUAAAAUUCUUAACUCCUUUGAAAAUUAAUUAAUAUUUUAUUAUCAUAAGAUUAUUAAUUUUUCAUCACACAAAUUAAUUCAAACAUACGUAUUACAUCCAAUAAAAUGUUUAUAAAGUCGUUUUUCAAUUAAAAAUGAGGAAAAAAGAAUAAAGGAUCAAGAUCUAUAAAUGAAAAAAAAAGAUUGUUGAAUAAUUAAAACAUUGAUUUUGUAAAAAUAUCAUGCUUAUUAUUAUUAUUAUUAUUUAUUUUAUUUUUUUUAAAAAAAGCGCUCGGUUGAAUGACAAUAAGUGUGUAAAUACUAAAUAGCUAUCAUUAAACUCCUAUGCCAAAAUAAACUUUUGAAAAAUUUACGAGCCCUUUAAAUUUAUUUCUCAAAGGUUUUUUUGUCAAAUAUCUUAGCAAAAAAUCUUAACAUGAAAUCUUACUUGAUUUUAACAAAAAUAAUCAUCAAAAGAUGUUUUAAGAAGAAUUUUUAUGUAAAGUUUUGGCUUAAAAAUUCUCUAUUAUCAUACUUUAUUUUAAAAAAAACCCAAGAAAAUUAAAGAAUUAAUUCAUACUUAGACAUUAUAAAUGAUUGAUAUGACAAAUCCUACAUAAUGUUAAAGACUAACAUUCUCAUGUUCUUAGAUUCUUAAGAUUAUGAAUCUUCAAGAGUGUACAUUCACUACAAGAUUUAACAGUUUUAUCGACGGAAUUUUUCCGUCGGUGUAAGACACAUAUUCCAUCGGUAAUUAUAUUACCGACGGAAUCACAGACGGAAAUGAUCCGUCGGUGAAUUGUUCGUCGGUAAUGUUUUAUCCGUUGGUAAUAUAAUCACCGACGGAUGUACUGACGGAACAUACGCGUUGAUAAUAAUUUUUUUAUUACCAACAGAAUUACCGAGGGAUAUACUGAUAAAAAUGAUGAAAAUUUGUUUUUGUACUGAUGAAAAAAAUAAAGUUGCAAUUGCUAAAAAUUUAAAAAUCCCUAUAAAUAAAUCAACUAAAAAUUGGUCUCAUAUGAAAAAAAAUCUCACAACAAAAUUUAUACAAUUAUUAAGAACAAAAACAAUUAAAAAUAGAAUAAAAAACAAAUAUAGUGAAAAAAAUCAUGAAAAAAAAAGAAAAAAGAAAAAUAUUACCUUAAUGUAGUUGCAAGUGAAGCUAAGGAGAGAAAAAAAUUUCGUAAAGCAUAUUAAUUAAAAAAAAACUAAGAGGAUAAAAGAAGAAAGAAGAAGAAGAAGACAUACCCGAGCAUGGAGGAAAAGAGAAGAAGAUGAGGAGAGAAAAGAAGAGAAAGAAAUAGAUAUUGAUGUUUUUUACAUAUAGUGAAGAAGAAGAAGAAGUAGAAGAAAAAUUAAAAGAAAUGAGCCUGUCUCUUGUGAAAUAAGGGGAUCCAGACUUUUUAUUGGGGCGCGUUAGCGAUGGAUUUACCGACGGAUAAUUGAAUAUUAAUAUUUUUUAAUUAUUCCGUCGGUAAUUCCAUCGGUAAUAUUUAAUUUAAAUUUUCAAUUUUGUAAAAAGUUUGCAGAAACCGCCAACAAUUACCGAUGAUUUUUCAAUCCGUCGGUGAUUCCGUCUGUAAUAUUUAAAUGAAAAUUUUAAAUUAAUUGAAUUUUUUCAGAAAACCGCCAAAUAACACCGACGACUUUUCAAUCCGUCGGUGAUUCUGUCCGUAAAGAACAGUCGGUGAUUCCGUCUGUAAUAUUUAAAUAAAAAUUUUAAAUUAAUUGAAUUUUUUCAGAAAACCGCCAAAUAACACCGACGACUUUUCAAUCCGUCGGUGAUUUUGUCCGUAAAGAACAAUAAUUAACAGUGCAAUUGGAAAGUGAACAGUUCUAAAGCUCUCUGGAAAAUACCGACGGAAAUUUCCGUCGGUGAUUCCCUUUGUAAUUGACAUGAUGAACAAUGUUCACAGUUUACCGGCGGAUUUACCAACGGAAGUACCGACAGAAAUUAUUCCGUCGGUAAUUCCAUUGGUAAAAAUGACACGUCAUCAUUUUUGUUUUUGCUUUGUUUUAAUUUUUUUUCCCAUGGUAAUUCCCUCAGUAUAUACUGAGGGAAUAUUUCCGUCAGUAAAAUCCCUCGGAAAUUUACUAAUGGAAAUAUUCCCUCAUUAUUUUCGUCUGUAUUUAUCAAUUUUCUGGUAGUGAUUUUUCAGUCUCAGAAUUUGUAUUGUAGAAUAAAAAAUCUCCUACCAUGGAGUUUUAAACAUGAUCAUGCUUUGUUUUUUGAAACCACAACUUUAUGGUCGGCUGUGUUUAGGGUUGUGUUUAUAAUAUAAUUUCAAUAAAAUUGAUUUUGUUUAAAAUUUUAUAUAUAUUGAAUUAUUUUAAACUCUUGAUAUCAAAAAUAAUUUUUUUCAAACUAAAAAAAAAUCUAUAGUUUAAUUACUUUCGGAUAAUAUUAGUGAUGCAAGGAAUGACAAUGUAAAAUGCUUUGUAGGAUGUUAGAUUUGUGGGUUUCAAGAAGGUUCGUACAAUCAACCGAUGAAGAAAGCUUUAUAUAUAAAGUGUUAUGUCAUCGAGGCAUUCAACAAAUGCCUACCGCUGGAACGUUUUAUUGUUUUGUGAAGGAGUGCUUGCUUUCAACUAGUAUUGGUUUGGCAACAAGUAAGCCAGUCUGCCUGAACUUGGAGCGAACGGAGGCGAGUGAUACCUCGACAUUAUCCUUUUCAAGCAAAUCAAUGAUGUAUUCGGCCCUGCUUUUCUAUAGAACCUAUUCCUUUGUAAUUGCUUCAUUUAUAGCUGUGUUUUUCAUCAGCAUUUUGAACAUAUUUAAUUUGCAGGGAGCGUUAAGAUUGGAAACUUUCUAAUGAAAGCAAUUGGGACAUGCAAAGUUACACGAGCAAGUAUGGUGCGUAAAAAUAUUGAGAUGUUGCAAGAAACUAAGAUUAGAACUCCAGAUUGUUCUAGGAAAAUCAGAAUAUAAUUGAUGAUGUUAAUUCUUAUGAUGAAACAAGAACUGUUAUUAGCAAAACUGUUUACUUACAUAAUACAUUUGAACACUAAAGAACCCAAAAUUCUUACAAACACAUGAUAUUCAAUGGGCAUUCUCUCAUUCAGUUAACCAGAGAUUUCAAUAGCCUUGACACCAGGUUUCUUGAGCUCCUCUUUAGGCACAGUCACAAUAAGAACUCCGUUUUCCAUAGAAGCCUUGACCUGAUCCAUUUUCGCAUCCUUGGGCAGCCUAAACCUCCUCAAGAACUUGCCACUGCUUCGCUCCACCCUAUGCCAUGUAUCGUUCUUGUCUUCCUUCUCUACAUUCCUUUCUCCGCUAAUCUGAAGCACCCUGUCAUCUUCAACUCCGACCUUCACUUCCUCUUUUUUAAGCCCUGGAAGAUCUGCCUUGAAGACAUGGGCUUCUGGUGUCUCUUUCCAAUCCACGCGGGUGUUUACAAAAGCUGAAUUUUCAUGAGAAAGGAGAGAAUUUGAGGUGGAAGUGAAAGGAGAGAAGUCCUUGAACGGAUUCCAAAUAUCAAAAGAAGAGAAUGGAUCGAUAAUGCUUCUGCCUCGGUGGUUGUCUAAGAAGCUUGGAAUCAUUUCCAUCUUUUCCAGAAAAUCUUGUAGCUUGAUGGGUUGCUGUUAAUCACCUGACUGGUUCCUUGUUCUUGAUUCUCGAUGUCAUGUGAGAGGCGACACGGAUUGGUAUUUAUAAUAAGUAAACGAGCCAUCUGGUACAUUCUGGACGGUCGCCUUGGACCCUGUUUCAGGAAAAAUCUGGGUCCACACCCAGAUUUUAAUUUGAGAAAUUGAGGAACUUACUCGAAAGUUCCUGUUUCUUUGUGGCUGUAGAUUUAAACUGUGGGCCGAUUGGGCUGGAAUAUAUAAUGGGCCUAAGCCUUGGUUUCGUAUUUUGCUUUUGGGCUUUGUAAUGUUUGAUUUCCCUUUUGUAUACAACAGAUGAUUUUUCUUUUGUAUCAGUUUAAUAUAGGGGUGAUUUAUGGAUUCCGUUUUAAGAUCCCAGUAAAAAAUUUCAUUAAGUUGUUUAUGGGUUGGGAAAGCUCUUGGUGAAGACAACCCAUGGAUCAUUGUAAAUAAAAUUCAAUAGUAACUUUGAAAAGCUUAAAAAAUUGUAAAAAUAAUUUCAUUAAGUUGUUUAUGGGCCUGAGCCUUGGUUUCGUAUUUUUUAAUAUUUUUUAAUAUAUUAAUAUCAAAAAUAAAUUUAAAAAAAUAAAAACUAUAUAAUUUUAAUAUAUUUCUAAACAAAAACUAUCUAAAAAAGCAAUUUCUACUCCUAUUUUAUACCACCCCUGAAAUAUAUGAAUUUAUUUGGAAGUAUGGUUGCGGUUGUUUUUCAAAGUGUUUUUCACUCAGAAAUAUAUCAAAAUAAUAUUUUUUUUUAUUUUUUAAAAAUUAUUUUUGAUAUGAGCGUAUCAAACUGAUUUAAAAACACUAAAAAAUAUUAAUUUGAAGCAAAUAAAAAAAUAUAAAAAAUUUAAUUUUUUUAAAAUACUUUUGAAAUGAAAAAAAAAAAAUAUGUAUCUCAGUUUGAAAAUGACCAUUAGUUUACAAUGUAUAUGGUAUCGUUUUCAGCUCGUUCACUUAAGAAAUUAUGGGUCACCUUCAACUCUAAUUUCCAAAAGAAAAUAACAAAACUAAACAGCCAAGAAAGAUGGGACGAUGCAUUUUGGCACAGGGCCAAAAGCCAAACUACUCGCCUUCCUAGGAAUUACUUGCACGCACCCACUUCUUCCUAUCCUACAGCCUUCUUGCGCAUGAGCUCAAUUCUCUGGAAAAAAUAUUUCAAAUUCCGGUUGCACAUACCAUCUUAACACAGACAGACUUCAAUGGCAACAUUAGGGUGCAAUGACACUGAUGCGAAGAAAACUGAAGUCGAAAGCUUGCAGGUUCUUAGACCUGUGGGCUCCCAAGGCGGAGGAACUGAAGGACUUCCUUAUCUGUACCAUCGACCAAUGCACAAAGGUCUAGCAAAGGCAGAUGAUGAUUAUGUCACCGAGGCAUUCAAACAACUUCCUAUGCCAGAUCAAGAGAAACUUAUAGAAGAACUUUCUAGCCAGCUUCAUCAAGAUGUUAUGGUUGAAAAGUUGUUCGACGAGAGUGAAGAAGCUUAUAGACUAAGAUGUUUCACAGAGCUGCAUAUGAAGCUUCCAUCGGAUAGCCGCCAAGGUUUCAAUAACGAAUUUCGCCGGAGAUACUAUUCAAUCAGAGGUUCUUCUUUACAGUCCCUACAUUGAUGCUUGGUGUUUGGUUAUGGUUACCAAAGUCAAAGCCCAAAAUCAUUUUAUUUUUUUUGGAAAUUGAUUAUUAGCACCAAUUAGCAACAGAGAAUAACAAUCCAGAAUUUUUAAAAAUCAAUUAUGCACUAGUAUCGUUUUAAUUAAAUAAUGCUUUUUUUAAUGUUAAAAACACUUAAGAAUUAACAAUAUUUAAUAAUUUUCUCCAACUGCAGAUACAUAAACUUACAAAUCGAGGUGUUUUGCAGGGUUGCCAUUGAAGCUUCCCUUUAAUAGCUACAAUAGAUUCAAGAAUAAUUACAAUCAGUGUUAUCCUUGCAAUACUAUAGGCACACAAGUUUCUGGAACAAUUGUUUCUGGGAUAUGUGAAGGAUUUGGUCAGCAGAUCGUUCAACAGAUUUUUGAAGGUAUAGUAGGUGGAAGUGAAGAGUCUUCUUUAACACUGGAGUUCUUCAAGGUGAAAACCCUGGAUUUGCGAGGAGCAAACGAAGUGGGAACCGGUACGACUUCUACAACCACUCGGUAAAAAUAGCAGGCUAUGGAAGGACGUUACAAAUUUGAUCGUGGCAAUCAAAUAGAUAUGGUAGCUUUGGUGAGAAUCCGAGACUGUACUUUUGAUGUUUCUCCUGAGGUCUUUUGUUGCUCUUAUGAAGCCUUCAGGAUGAUUUUGAUUCUAUCUGUAUGAAGUAAUACCUAUAAACUACUAAUUAUUGUAAGACGUGAUAUAUUUAUUGUAACACAGGAUGAGAUUUUAAUGCUAUGAUAAAUUUGUGAUUAUAGCGUUGGCUUGAUGGGGUUUGGAUUUGCAGUUAAGAGAGCCUUCCUCUGUCGCCAGAAUUAAUGAUCUUUCAGAGGCACUCUAUGUUGAAGUUCAAGGCGAUAAAGAAAGUAUAAAAAUAUAUUGUAAAGAAACUUCACAGGAUUGUUGAAAGAAGUUCUCUGAUUUUGAGGGUUAUAUUAUUAUCUGAAAGCCGAAAUUUAAACUCGUGACAGGUAGUUAAAACUCUGAUAGUAUAGGACUAAUUCCUACGAAGACAAGAUGCCCAGAUGGUGUCUUUUGAAACCAGGCCAACACUCGAGGUACUAAACCUAGUACAGGACUCAAACUCACCACUAUACUUGGCAUACAAUGAUAUUUUGCAGACAAACGAGGCCGGCAUUUGUCUUCCUUAAGGCGUUCUCUCGUGAUGCAUUACAGGAAGAGGACAAAAGACGUGAAUGUAAGGUAGAAAAGAAAAUACCAACAGCAUUAUUGCCAAAACCUUUUGGGCGAAUGGCUAAGAACAUAUGAGAAUCACGAAAACAGUAAACUUACAAAAAGAAAAAGAUUAGCAAAACUGUUAUGUUACAUUCAUAAUAGAUUGAAUCCUUUGUGCACACUGACAGUAACAGAGAACUUCCAACAACUUAUAAAAACACAAAAGAAGAACAAUUCUUACAAACACAGAAUAUACAAUAGGCAUUCUCUCAUUCAGUUAACUAGAGAUGUCAAUCGCCUUGACUUCAGGUUUCUUGACUUCCUCUUUAGGCACAGUGACAGUAAGAACCCCGUUCUCCAUAGAAGCCUUGACAUGAUCCAUUUUCGCAUUCUCAGGCAGCCUGAACCUCCUCAGGAACUUGCCACAGCUACGCUCCACACGAUGCCAUGUAUCGUUCUGGUCUUCCUUCUCCACAUUCCUCUCUCCGCUGAUCUGAAGCACUCUGUCAUCUUCGAUUUCGACCUUCACUUCCUCUCUUUUUAGCCCCGGAAGAUCUGCCUCGAAUACAUGGGCUUCUGGGGUCUCUUUCCAAUCAAUGCGGGUGUUGACAAAGGCUGAGUUUUCACGAGAGAUGAGUGAAUGCGGGGAAGUGAAAGGGAAGUCUUUGAGUGGAUCCCAAACGUCGAAUGCAGAGACUGGGUCGAAAAUACUGUUGGCUCGUUGGUUGUAAAAGAAGCUUGGAAUCGUUGCCAUCUUUUACUUCUUUCUUCAGAAAAUUAACCUUCGUUUACCUGCUGCUAAUGUUUUGAUUGCUUCUUCUUGUUCUUGAUUUUUCUGUGCUAGAGGCGGGACAGGUCGGGUAUUUAUAAGUAAAGGAGGCAUCUGGUUUGUUCUGGACGAUCGAGUAGUACGCUGAACCAGGAAGAUUCUGGGUCCAACCAACAUCAGAUAAGAUCGAAGAACUUUCUCGUAAAUUCCAGAGUCCUCGGUUGUGAAUUGAAAAUGUGUGGAUUUGAUAUUCAAUUGGGUUUGAUUUUUUAAUGGGCUGAAGCCUUUGUUUUCCUAUUUUUCUCAUGGCCCAGUCUACUGUUAUCAUUGUUUUCUUUUUCAGUUUUCUUGCCUUAAAAGAUUUUCAGCUUAUUUUUACAUUUUAAAUGUAUUUUUAAACUAUUUUAUUUUAUUUUCUUUUAUUUUUUAAAAUUAAUUUUUAUAUGUUUUUAAACCAUUUUGAUGUAUUGAUGUUAAAAAUAAUUUUUUUUAAAAAUAAUAAAAAUAUUAUUUCAAUGUAUUUUCAAGUAAAAAUACUUUAAAAAUUAACCGAUAUCACAAUACCAGACAGACUUUUAAUACACGGAAGAUCUUGCAAACGAAUAAAAUAUAUAAAUUAUGAAAAUAAUAAUUUAAUGUAUAGACAUUUAAUUGAAAAGUACUUAGAUAUGUUCUUGAAUUAAGAAUCUAAUUUGAAACGGGCUUAAUUGAGUGCAAAGUAUAUAUAUAUAUAUAAUGAUUGAUAAUCACGUGUAGAAGUUGAAAACUAUCUAUUAUACUUUUAAUUAGAACCUUGUAUAAAUAAAAAUGACCGAUUGUUUACAGCAUUAAAAAUUCAUUUAAUAUUGUGAUAAUUUUUAUUUUUUUAAAAUAAUUGUUUUAUAAUUUUGAUAUAUUAAUAUUAAAAAAAAGUUAUUUUAAUAUAUUUUCAAAUAUAUAACCAACACUCCAGAUUAAAAAAUUCAAGGAUCUAGUUGCAUAAUAGCUUCGAUGUUAUGCUGAGCAGCUCAAAACUUAAAAACUAAUGGUCGUUGACUGAAAAUUCUCAGCACUUUAUUAUCCUGGGAAAUUCAAUAACUUCAAUGUUGCAUAUUUGAAAUCUAGUGGUUUCCAUGAUCUUUUGGACGGCUGGAUCUGUAUAAAGUAUCGUUGUCACUGCAUCCAUCUAUUAUCAACAAUGUGAUCGAUGGCAAUUAUCUCACCACAAUAUCAUGGGGCGUAGAAACAAGAUGCUGCAAGAAACCGAGUUCCAUCUCCAGAUUAUUCUAGCGAGGAAAUUCAAAAUAUACUCGAUUUGAUGAACAAUUUAUGUUCUGAAUGCAUCCUUCUAAUUCUUACGCCUCAAAGAGAUUUACAAAGGGAGGGAAGGGAACAUCAAAAAGCAAGAUACGCACAAAAUUACAAGCAACCGAGCAAGACUCAAGAAAUUUUAUAGCAAAACUUUUGAUUACAUUACUCCUCUCUGCAGACUGACGAGGAGACCAAACCUUUCAACUACUUGUAAAAGAGCACACAAAAACAAAAUAAACACACAAUUCUCAAAAGAGGUAUUAUCUCGUUCAACCAGAGAUUUCAAUAGCCUUGACAUCAGGUUUCUUGAUCUCUUCUUUAGGCACAGUCACAGUAAGAACUCCAUUUUCCAUAGAAGCCUUGACCUGAUCCAUUUUUGCAUUCUCAGGCAGCCUAAACCUCCUCAAGAACUUGCCACUGCUUCGCUCCACCCUAUGCCAUGCAUCGUUCUUGUCUUCCUUCUCCACAUUCCUAUCUCCGCUAAUCUG
rnacentral:lncRNA from 1 species